AGGAAUAUUGGUCAAUGGACGCAAGUCUGAACCAGCCAUGCCGCGUGCAGGAAGACGGCUCUAUGAGUUGUAAACUGCUUUUGUACGAGAGUAAACGCUCUUACGUGUAAGAGCCUGAAAGUAUCGUACGAAUAAGGAUCGGCUAACUCCGUGCCAGCAGCCGCGGUAAUACGGAGGAUCCAAGCGUUAUCCGGAUUUAUUGGGUUUAAAGGGUGCGUAGGCGGUUUGAUAAGUUAGAGGUGAAAUACCGGUGCUUAACACCGGAACUGCCUCUAAUACUGUUGAACUAGAGAGUAGUUGCGGUAGGCGGAAUGUAUGGUGUAGCGGUGAAAUGCUUAGAGAUCAUACAGAACACCGAUUGCGAAGGCAGCUUACCAAACUAUAUCUGACGUUGAGGCACGAAAGCGUGGGGAGCAAACAGGAUUAGAUACCCUGGUAGUCCACGCAGUAAACGAUGAUAACUCGCUGUCGGCGAUACACAGUCGGCGGCUAAGCGAAAGCGAUAAGUUAUCCACCUGGGGAGUACGUUCGCAAGAAUGAAACUCAAAGGAAUUGACGGGGGCCCGCACAAGCGGAGGAACAUGUGGUUUAAUUCGAUGAUACGCGAGGAACCUUACCCGGGCUUGAAAGUUACUGACGAUUCUGGAAACAGGAUUUCCCUUCGGGGCAGGAAACUAGGUGCUGCAUGGUUGUCGUCAGCUCGUGCCGUGAGGUGUCGGGUUAAGUCCCAUAACGAGCGCAACCCCUACCGUUAGUUGCCAUCAGGUCAAGCUGGGCACUCUGGCGGGACUGCCGGUGUAAGCCGAGAGGAAGGUGGGGAUGACGUCAAAUCAGCACGGCCCUUACGUCCGGGGCUACACACGUGUUACAAUGGUAGGUACAGAGGGCAGCUACCCAGUGAUGGGAUGCGAAUCUCGAAAGCCUAUCUCAGUUCGGAUCGGAGGCUGAAACCCGCCUCCGUGAAGCUGGAUUCGCUAGUAAUCGCGCAUCAGCCACGGCGCGGUGAAUACGUUCCCG
rnacentral:rRNA from 1 species